rnacentral:tRNA from 2 species
CUUAGCUCAGCUGGAUAGAGCACCGGCCUUCUAAGCCGUAGGUCACAGGUUCGAAUCCUGUAGG